AACCUUGGGAAUCGAUUUUCUCAGUUGCAUAUUUGUGUCUGGGCUCUAGGGAGAGUGAAGAUGGCUUUGGCUUUGUCACUUUCCCCUCGGUUGGACUCUACCCUUGGGUUUGGGGCUUAGCCACAUUUGAGGCUCAACAGGUGUAAGAGCUUCCCGCUCAGUCAGAGAUGAUCACUGGAAGAGUCUCCACCUGUAUCGUUCCCACCGGUCGGCUCUACUAUCUUUGCAGUGACCAGAUGGAGCGUGUACCUCGGACUCUGAGCCUACUGAACAGAUGCUGGGUUCAACCGUGACUCCCAGAAUGAAUGAGGAGAAACCGACAGAUCUGUGGGAUUCUUCCGGCUGUAGGAGACGGCUUCUCCCUGGACCGAGAUGAGAGGGAUCAGAGAAGACUUCCAGAGGAGGAGAGCUUCCCGGCGCUCUGUGGCAUGAAUCGUAUGGGCGAGGGAAUUUCAGGCUGACUCCCUAUCAGGGCUUUCACCUCCGCUUGGAUCUUCACCUUCAAUAUCUGCCUAGAGGUCAUUUGUACCCUCCGACUUGAGAGUGGACCCGGACGUCCCCGUGUCCGGGAAGAACGAGGCGAAGACGGGGGCCAAGAGAGAGAGAGCUUCCGUGUCCGGCGGUGAGAUAUAACAGCGACCCCAUAAUUGUGGCCCACGGCCCGCCAGCCGGACCGUCUUCCUCUGGAAUCCACCGGCAGCCAUCCCGGAACGUGCCGGAUUCAUCGUUCCUCGACACCCCCGGCCGAAACCACCGGAGCCACGUUCGCGGAACGUCUGCCGGGAUCGUCUCCGAACGCCAUCGGCAGCCCCCCGAGAUAGGCCCCGGGACCCUCUGGUCUCAUGCACAUGGGAAAAAAUGAAUAAAAAUGUCUUAGCCCCA